GAGAGAAAAACAAAAUACUGAUAUAUAAAGCUUUUUAACUUAACUUGACCUCCAUAACAUAUAUCACAAGAACCCAAUACAUAUAUAUAUUAACUGAAUUUUCUUGCAAUAAUUAAUCUACUGAAAUUCCCUCUGCGCAACACUGAGAGAGAGAGAGAGAGAGAGAGAGAGAGGGGUGUUAUCCUACGUCUGGCAACACUGUCGAGGGUACCAACUUGGAUACCUCACAGCAUAAAAUUAUGGCGUUAUUUAAGGUUCUGUGAGGCGACCAGGAGCAUGACGCGGCUGCCCAGACGGUGAAAAUACAGGGUGUGCCAAGGAAGAGAACAAAGAACAGACAAAGAAUCUCAAGAAACUCUGGGAAUAUAUUAGUUAAACACACACACACACACACACACACACACACACACACACGUGCAAAAUCUCAUUCUAAAUAGGGAGAUGGAAUUUAUAUAUUGAUGUUUUUAUUUAUUUAUUUAUAAAAAAAAUGGUUUACUAAUAUAUUACUGACCACAUAAGUAAAAUUAAUAGAAUACGAAAACCAUAAUAUACUUUACACUGUUGCCAAGAACCACAAAAUGAGCGGAAAAAUGUUAUGCAGUAGUCUAAAUUAUCUUGUUAUCGAGCAUAUCUAUGGUAUACGAGGCUGCCCACUUAUUCUGGGUACACUGUCUCGUAAGUAUUAGGUAGGAGGCUACUCACUCGUUCUGGCUACACUGUCCACGAUUUCAAUAUUAGGUAAGAGUUAACCCACUCGUUCUGGCUACAUUGUCCAUUGAUAUCAGUAUUGGGUAAGAGGCUAUUCACUUGUUCUGGCUACACUGUCCACGAUUUCAAUAUUAGGUAAGAGUUAACCCACUCGUUCUGGCUACACUGUCCAUUGAUAUCAGUAAUGGGUAAGAGGCUAUCCACUUGUUCUGGCUACACUGUCCAUGAUUUCAAUAUUAGGUAAGAGUUAAUCCACUCGUUCUGGCUACACUGUCCAUUGAUAUCAGUAUUGGGUAAGAGGCUAUCCACUUGUUCUGGCUACACUGUCCAUGAUUUCAAUAUUAGGUAAGAGUUAACCCACUCGUUCUGGCUACACUGUCCAUUGAUAUCAGUAUUGGGUAAGAGGCUAUCCACUUGUUCUGGCUACACUGUCCAUGAUUUCAAUAUUAGGUAAGAGUUAACCCGCUCAUUCUGGCUACAUUGUCCAUUGAUAUCAGUAUUGGGUAAGAGGCUAUCCACUUGUUCUGGCUACACUGUCCACGAUUUCAAUAUUAGGUAAGAGUUAACCCACUCAUUCUGGCUACACUGUCCAUUGAUAUCAGUAUUGGGUAAGAGACUAUCCACUUGUUCUGGCUACACUGUCCACGAUUUCAAUAUUAGGUAAGAGUUAACCCACUCAUUCUGGCUACACUGUCCAUUGAUAUCAGUAAUGGGUAAGAGGCUAUCCACUCGUUCUGGCUACACUGUCCACGAUUUCAAUAUUAGGUAAGAGUUAACCCACGCGUUCUGGCUACACUGUCCAUUGAUAUCAGUAUUGGGUAAGAGGCUAUCCACUUGUUCUGGCUACAUUGUCCAUUGAUAUCAGUAUUGGGUAAGAGGCUAUCCACUCGUUCUGGCUACACUGUUCGCUGAGUUCAGUAUUACCUGAGACAAUCGUUCUGGCUACACUG